rnacentral:rRNA from 1 species
UACGAAGGGGGCUAGCGUUGCUCGGAAUUACUGGGCGUAAAGCGUGCGCAGGCGGUUCGCCAAGUCAGGUGUGAAAUCCCCGGGCUUAACCUGGGAAUUGCGCUUGAAACUAGCGGGCUUGAGUGUGGCAGAGGGGGGGUGGAAUUCCAACGUGUAGCAGUGAAAUGCGUAGAGAUGUGGAGGAACACCGAUGGCGAAGGCAGCCCCCCUGGGUCAACACUGACGCUCAUGCACGAAAGCGUGGGGAGCAAACAGG